GCUCGUGCUGGCCUGGCUGGGCGCCGGCCUCGCGGGCUGGCCGGCGGCGCUGCGGGCCGCCGCCGCCGUGAUCAUGCUCGGUGCGGCCC
rnacentral:tRNA from 1 species